AACCAACUCAUCCCUAUCCACUCUGGGCAUGAGAAGAGAAGGGGCGUGGCUUCUUUGUGCAUGGAAAGAUUUCAUGAGAAACUCUUUCUCAUGUAUGAUAAGUGGCGCACAAGAUGGAUAAGCAAGAAGGCGCAAGGGAUAAGUUAUCCAUUCAAAUUCAAACACCCUUUGAAUUUGAAUGGCUAACAAAUCAAGUUUAUCCAAAAAUUGG
rnacentral:lncRNA from 1 species